rnacentral:rRNA from 1 species
UACGGAGGGAGCUAGCGUUGUUCGGAAUUACUGGGCGUAAAGCGCACGUAGGCGGCUUUGUAAGUUAGAGGUGAAAGCCCGGGGCUCAACUCCGGAACUGCCUUUAAGACUGCAUCGCUUGAAUCCGGGAGAGGUGAGUGGAAUUCCGAGUGUAGAGGUGAAAUUCGUAGAUAUUCGGAGGAACACCAGUGGCGAAGGCGGCUCACUGGUCCAUUACUGACGCUGAGGGUGCGAAAGCGUGGGGAGCAAACAGG